UACAGAGGGUGCGAGCGUUAAUCGGAAUUACUGGGCGUAAAGGGCGCGUAGGUGGUUAUAUAAGAUUGUUGUGAAAUCCCUGGGCUUAACCUAGGAUCUGCAACGAUGACUGUAUAGCUUGAGUAUUGUAGAGGGUAGUGGAACUUCCGGUGUAGCGGUGAAAUGCGUAGAGAUCGGAAGGAACACCAGUGGCGAAGGCGGCUACCUGGACAAAUACUGACACUGAGGCGCGAGAGCGUGGGGAGCAAACAGG
rnacentral:rRNA from 1 species